rnacentral:tRNA from 1 species
AAGGCCUUAGCUUAAUUAAAGCGUCUGGGUUGCAUUCAGGAGAUGUGUAGAAAAGUUAUACAGGUCUUA